rnacentral:rRNA from 1 species
UACGAAGGGGGCUAGCGUUGUUCGGAUUUACUGGGCGUAAAGGGCGCGUAGGCGGGCUGAUCAGUCAGGGGUGAAAUCCCAAGGCUCAACCUUGGAACUGCCUUUGAUACUGUCGGUCUUGAGUUCGAGAGAGGUAAGUGGAACUGUGAGUGUAGAGGUGAAAUUCGUAGAUAUUCGGAGGAACACCAGUGGCGAAGGCGGCUCACUGGUCCGGUACUGACGCUGAGGUGCGAAAGCGUGGGGAGCAAACAGG